UUAUUUUCGCCCAGUGUAGUGGGCUUCCUGCAGACGAAAACACGGUCGAAAAUAGCUCGCAGACUGGCCAGACGACAACGCAGCGCGGAUAAUGUCGCAAUGGUAAUGGUGGCGCUACGCCAGCCAGGGCUUCCAUUUCCUCUCUCGCCCAGGGCUGCAUCACUUCCGGCGAAAGUCCUCGAGCUUGGGAGUUCGCAGUGCGUUGCCUACCCUCAGGCGCCAUUUGGAGUUUGAGGGGUUUUGGUAUUCCACCUAUUACAUGACUCAUUGCGGGGACUUUGGCUGUCAGUGCAGCCCUGGCGCGCAGAAAUUCGCACACAAAUUAAACAUUGUCUGGCCGUCUCUGACCGACAUCGACAUCAACGUCUCGCUGGCAAUUCUUCGGCGACGCUUUCUUUGAGUAAUGGACGAGGCGCGGAAUACGCAUACGCACGCGGACAGCAGAGGGCGGCUGACUGACAGACAAAAAUUCUGUUGUGGCACAUAUGCAACCUCCUCGUCCAUUUGGGGGGAUGGAAUGCCCAAGAACAAGAACUAUAACUAUGGCCCAAUCAUUACAACUCAAUCAUCGGUCGAAAAUAGCAAAUUUCUUCCAAGAUUCCAUCCAUUUCCCGUAUUUUUGGAAGCCAUUGAGGGGUCCGACUGCCGGAAGAGCCACCCCAGUCACACGGAUCCACCCACCUCCUCCUCCAUUGCCCAGAUUCCCUCCAGAAACGCAGCGAGAAAUCUCUCGGUGAUUUAGGAACACUAAAUCCGAGCCGACGUGGGGGAAAGAAAAUACGCACAAAGAGGGAGGAUUCCGAUGGAUCUUCUGGGUGCUCUUCCGCGUGCAGCCUCUGAGGGAAAAGUUCUUUGGGAAUAUAAUCUAGCGAAAUGGUAAAAGAACUUGGUGUUUGUGGGUCAAAAAGAGUUUACGACAUCCCAAAGGAUUUUUUAUAAUAUUUGUUUUCCUAUAAGUCCAUGUAAUAAUUUUGCACGAAAAAAAUGUAAAUUUGAUCCGAAACAUUGCAACAAUUUGUCCAAAUAUGGAAUGUAAUACAUCGUUGAACUCGUAAUA